rnacentral:rRNA from 1 species
AGCAGCCGCGGUAAUUCCAGCUCCAAUAGCGUAUAUUAAAGUUGUUGCAGUUAAAAAGCUCGUAGUUGAAUUUCGGAAUCUGUCCGUUGGUCGGGCUUCAUUGUCCGUACUGAUGUGAUGGGUUCUUACCUUCUGAAUAACCAGCAUGUCAUUAAUUUGGUGUGUUGGGGAAGCAGGACUAUUACCUUGAAAAAAUUAGAGUGCUCAAAGCAGGCUAGUGCCUGAAUACAUUAGCAUGGAAUAAUAAAAUAGGACAGCAUGGUUCUAUUUUGUUGGUUUCUAGGAUCACCGUAAUGAUUAAUAGGGAUAGUUGGGGGCAUUAGUAUUCAAUUGUCAGAGGUGAAAUUCCUGGAUUUAUUGAAGACUAACUUCUGCGAAAGCAUUUGCCAAGGAUGUUUUCAUUAAUCAAGACGAAAGUUAGGGGAUCGAAGACGAUCAGAUACCGUCGUAGUCUUAACCAUAAACUAUGCCGACUAGGGAUCGGACGAUGUUAAUUUUAUAA